rnacentral:rRNA from 1 species
UGAAUUUUGAAGGGCCGCGGUAUUUCUGACCGUGCGAAGGUAGCAUAAUCAUUAGUCUUUUAAUUUGAGGCUCGUAUGAAGGGUCGGACGAGGGAUAAACUGUUUCAAGUAAAGAAUUCGAACUUAACUUUUAAGUGAAAAGGCUUAAAUAUUUCAAAAAGACGAUAAGACCCUAUAAAUCUUAACACUAAUUACCAUGGUAUCCUAGAUUAUUAGUUUAAAGAAAACAAUGGAUAAAGUGUUAUGUUGGGGCAACAAAGAUAUAAAAAGCUUAACUGUUUUAACAAACUAACAAUUAUCAUUGAUAUCCUAUUAGAUCCUUCCUACAGAUUUAAAGAUUAAGUUACUUUAGGGAUAACAGCGUUAUUCUUUUUAAGAGUCCCCAUCGAAAAAAGAGUUUGCGACCUCGAUGUUGAAUUAGAAGAUCA